rnacentral:misc_RNA from 1 species
UUAAGUUCAGCGGGUAAUCCUACCUGAUUUGAGAUCAAACAUUGGAAAAGCUGUCCUCACGGAGGAGAGACGUCUGUGAGCUGCAGCGAACCUUCAUUGCUAAAGGUUACAUGGCGGAAAACCACAAGCGUAGAUAUUUAUCACACCUGUGAUGCCACCAAACACUGGCAAGCUGAUCCAUUUGAGAGGAGCCGACCAUA